rnacentral:rRNA from 1 species
CCCUUAGAUGUCCUGGGCCGCACGCGCGCUACACUGAUGCAUUCAACGAGUAUUUCCUUGGCCGAGAGGCCUGGGCAAUCUUUUAAACCUGCAUCGUGAUAGGGAUAGAUUAUUGCAAUUAUUAAUCUUGAACGAGGAAUUCCUAGUAAACGCAAAUCAUCAAUUUGCAUUGAUUACGUCCCUGCCCUUUGUACACACCGCCCGUCGCACCUACCGAUUGAACGGUCCGGUGAAAUCUCGGGAUUGUGGCCAGUUCACUUUAUUGGGAGUUGGCUGCGAGAACUUGCUUAAACCUUAUCAUUUAGAGGAAGGUGAAGUCGUAACA